AUGGUUGUUCACGAUCUAGUGCCACUAUGUAGAAACAAAGUCAAAAGACACCCGACACCCCUGCUCCCCCCCCCACCCUUUCCCCCCCCCCCCCCCCCAAAAAAAAAAAAAAAAAAAAAACAUUUUUUGGGCUACACAUAAUGUGUUUGCAGGGCCUAAACUUUCUUUUGCCAGAUGAGCAAAGCUUCCCAAGUUCUCCCUCCUCAGAGCGACCAGAAGUUUCUAUUAAUUGCUAGGAUGAUGAGCUAGUUUUUGGCUUGUAGACCUCUGUUCUUCCAUUAUUCCAGUCAGACCCUGAAUUCUGCUCAUUUAAAGACUCAUGAGAAUUGCCUAAGACUUUUAUAUAGAAGUCCCUCCU